ACAUUUACGAGAGAGAGAGAGAGAGAGAGAGAGAGAGAGAGAGAGAGAGAGAGAGAGUCUAAUAUUGCCUCAGGUCCCAUUUCUUAAGCCAAGGUCAAAGGUGACAUAAUUUGUGCAUGUUCUCAGUGUCAGUGUUCAUGCUGGGGAAACUUUUCCCUUGUCAAGAGGAAGAGCACACAGCACGGGGCAAGCUCUCAGUUAGACGACAAGAAGAAGAAACUCCGCUGUCUCGCGACAGUCACGCUUCCAGUUUGUUUAGCCAGUGACCUCCAAGUUGAUUCAGAAGUAUUUAUCACAAAAUGAGAAAUGACUCAUUUCUGGUUCAGCCGGAGCUCUGGGUCUGUUCCUCCAUAAAGGAUGGCUGGGUGAGCUUGAUUAUGUUCAGAAAGUCUCACGGUUCCAGAAAGUGCUUCCUCCAUCAUGCUGCUUAGGUCCUCAGCUGGACAGAGCCAAGCGCCCCAGAGGGGCCAUGCUGAGGGUUUAUCUGUUUUGUCAGCGUCUUGAGGGAUUUUACUGCUCCUGGGACGCCUGUGGCUCUGUUGGGUCCUUUUUCUCUCCGCUGUCCUUUCCCUCAUAGUAUUGAAUGUGGAGAUUAGUGGACGCCAGCCAGGUAUGAGCUUCUCUCCAAGGCUGAACUUCAACAACUCUAUUAUCCUCUGAGGAAGAAGCCAACGUGGCGCAGAUGGUAUUUUAAACAUAUUUGUUUCUGUGUCAACUGCUCUGCUCUGAACAUAAACAUCAAUUCAGUGACUUCACUGUUGUAAGUGAUAAGUUGCAACAGCCUCACUUGUUUCUGAGUUAAAUGACAGCAACAAAAUGAAAAAUCACCAUUAAAAGGCUAUAUUUGCAUA